rnacentral:rRNA from 1 species
AGAGUUGAUCCUGGCUCAGGACGAACGCUGGCGGCGUGCCUAACACAUGCAAGUCGAACGGAGUUGUUCCUUCGGGGACAACUUAGUGGCGAACGGGUGAGUAACGCGUGAGAAACCUGCCUUUCAGUGGGGGACAACAGUUGGAAACGACUGCUAAUACCGCAUAAUGUUAUUUGGGGGCAUCCCCGAAUAACCAAAGAUUUAUUGCUGAAAGAUGGUCUCGCGUCUGAUUAGCUAGAUGGCGGGGUAACGGCCCACCAUGGCGACGAUCAGUAGCCGGUCUGAGAGGAUGAACGGCCACAUUGGGACUGAGAUACGGCCCAGACUCCUACGGGAGGCAGCAGUGGGGAAUAUUGGGCAAUGGGGGAAACCCUGACCCAGCAACGCCGCGUGAAGGAAGAAGGCCUUCGGGUUGUAAACUUCUUUUACCAGGGACGAAUAAAAUGACGGUACCUGGAGAAAAAGCAACGGCUAACUACGUGCCAGCAGCCGCGGUAAUACGUAGGUUGCAAGCGUUGUCCGGAUUUACUGGGUGUAAAGGGCGUGUAGGCGGAGAUGCAAGUUGGGAGUGAAAUCCCGGGGCUCAACCCCGGAACUGCUUCCAAAACUGUAUCCCUUGAGUAUCGGAGAGGCAAGCGGAAUUCCUAGUGUAGCGGUGAAAUKCGUAGAUAUUAGGAGGAACACCAGUGGCGAAGGCGGCUUGCUGGACGACAACUGACGCUGAGGCGCGAAAGCSCYSGGYUSCUUCAGGAUAGAUACCCUGGUAGUCCACGCUUAAGGCCCCUAGUGUGGGAGGACUGACCCCUCCUCCGCAGUUAACACAAKRAGUWUUCCACC